rnacentral:rRNA from 1 species
GUGGGGAAUAUUGGACAAUGGGCGCAAGCCUGAUCCAGCCAUGCCGCGUGAGUGAUGAAGGCCUUAGGGUUGUAAAGCUCUUUCAGUGGGGACGAUAAUGACGGUACCCACAGAAGAAGCCCCGGCUAACUUCGUGCCAGCAGCCGCGGUAAUACGAAGGGGGCUAGCGUUGUUCGGAUUUACUGGGCGUAAAGCGCACGUAGGCGGAUCGUUAAGUCGGGGGUGAAAUCCUGGAGCUCAACUCCAGAACUGCCUUCGAUACUGGCGAUCUUGAGUCCGGAAGAGGUGAGUGGAACUCCUAGUGUAGAGGUGGAAUUCGUAGAUAUUCGGAAGAACACCAGUGGCGAAGGCGACUCACUGGCCCAAUACUGACGCUGAGGCGCGAAAGCGUGGGGAGCAAACAGGAUUAGAUACCCCUGUAGUCC